rnacentral:rRNA from 1 species
GGUGUCGAUGACGCUGAGGGUCCACCCGUUCCCAUACCGAACACGGAAGUUAAGCUCAGUGGUGCCGACGAUAGUAGUAGGGCGACUUGCUGUGAAAAUAGGGAGAUGCC